GGCGGCCUUACAAACACAAGUAAGUCGAACGGACUCUUCGGCCUUAGUAGGCGACGGGUGAGUAACACGUGGGAACGUGCCUUAUGGUUCGGAAUAGCUCCUGGAAACGGGUGGUAAUGCCGAAUGUGCCCUUCGGGGGAAAGAUUUAUCGCCAUUAGAGCGGCCCGCGUCUGAUUAGCUAGUUGGUGAGGUAAAGGCUCACCAAGGCUACGAUCAGUAGCUGGUCUGAGAGGAUGACCAGCCACAUUGGGACUGAGACACGGCCCAAACUCCUACGGGAGGCAGCAGUGGGGAAUCUUGCGCAAUGGGCGAAAGCCUGACGCAGCCAUGCCGCGU
rnacentral:rRNA from 1 species